UGUUCAACACUACGAGUUUUGACGCGUACGAGUGUGGUCACAUACAGCCAAAAUUUCGUUUUCCCUCUCAAAAUGAAGUUUAUUUUCGUUCUCAGAACUCAAUUUUCGUUCUUCAUCUCAAACGAACCUGAUCGACCACAUUUUCAUUCUCCCAAUUUGCUGCUGCCUUAGCUUCUCUCUCAAACGAAGUCGACCAACUCCCUCCCAUGGAAGCGUUCACGUUGUCGCCGCUUCCCUGUUGCCCUAGCUUCCCUCUCAAACGAAUGCCGUUCAAGCGGUAUGUUGUGAUCGAAAGGAUUGCCCUCAUCAACUAUGGUGAAGAUUAUGGGAAGCUUGUUAUAAUCGUGGAUGUAAUCGACCAGAACCGGGCUCUGGUUGAUGAUGUCUAUUAAUCUAUGUAUAUAUGGCUUAUACAUUGAAAGAUGAUGGUUCCAAAAUAAUGAAACUGAAUGAUAUUAGGUGGAGAAGGAUCAUUUUCAACACUAUGCUUUACUUUGGCAUUACACGAAAUGACUGAAGCCCCAUUUUGAGCAAUGGAUGAGUUUGAUGUGUUUAUGGUGAGCUACUGUCUCAUUCUUGUCAUCCUUUUUUAUAUUUCAAAUAUAUUUAUGAUAUGGAUAGCCAAAGAGAAUGUGGUCUAAAACUUAUAUUUGAAACAUAAAAGUGUUAAGUCUUUCACAAGCUUCCCAAUAAGUUUACAGGAUGCAGUAAGUCGGAAAUUCAGCUUAGAUACUCUUGUGGAUUUUGCAUUGGCACAAGGCUCCCAAUGGAUAUUUAUCACGUGGCAUGACAUCGAGUAAUUACAGAGAUAUUAAAUCUUUUGAGUUUCACUUGGUAUGGUUGAUGAUGUGAUCUUUAACUGCACAUGCACAAAUUUCUCACUUCUCUUAAAACUAUGCACAAGUUCAUUUUCUGAUGAAGUAUUGAGACACUUUAUGUAUGGGGAUCUAACUACAACAUGGUAAAACAAGGAGAACAAAUCAAGAAGCAGCAAAUGGCAGCUCCUCGAUCAUGAUAUACCUACUGGCGAUUCAGUCAAUGAUGAAGCUCUGGUGGUUACAACACUUAACAGAAAAAGGUCGACAACGGUUCAACUGCCAAUUGCGAUGUUGUAUUUCUUGAUUUUGGGUCUUUCUGUAACAAUCUCCACCUUUGUAAGCAUCUAGAGUUCCUUCCUUCUUUGCUUUACUGAGCUGACUUGAGCUAACCUUUUUCAAGUAACUCAAACCCGAGAAGGUCCAAGCAUCUGCCAAGCUUGUUUAAUGGAAUAGUUUUGGUUAGCAUAUUAGCUGCAUUAUUAGAGACGAUUCAGUCAACGAUGAAGCUCUGAUGGUUACAACACUUAACAGAAAAAGAUUGGUUAUCUGAAACUUGGUUUUGGAGUCGUCGGGUGAUUUGAGGAUCAAUGGAUUUGCCUUGUCAUUUGGACGAAUGGUUCGAAGGCGUUGGAUGUUGUUGGAUUGGUAAUUCACUUUGGUAAAUUCAUGACCAACUUGAUGGGGUAAUCAAAGACCAUUAAGCCUUCGAUACUAGUUCUAAUAUUUUUUCUGGAUUUGAUUUAUGGCAGUGUUUGAACACUCUGUGUAAUCAUCAUUCAUCAAAUUUCAUAUAGUGGAGAACUUGAUUUUCUUUGUUGUUUAAUUCAUGAGUUAAAGAAGUGAAGUUUUUAUAAAGAGAUAUUGGUGGAAAA